ACGAACGCUGGCGGCGUGCCUAAUACAUGCAAGUCGAACGCUUCUUUCCUCCCGAGUGCUUGCACUCAAUUGGAAAGAGGAGUGGCGGACGGGUGAGUAACACGUGGGUAACCUACCCAUCAGAGGGGGAUAACACUUGGAAACAGGUGCUAAUACCGCAUAACAGUUUAUGCCGCAUGGCAUAAGAGUGAAAGGCGCUUUCGGGUGUCGUUGAUGGAUGGACCCGCGGUGCAUUAGCUAGUUGGUGAGGUAACGGCUCACCAAGGCCACGAUGCAUAGCCGACCUGAGAGGGUGAUCGGCCACACUGGGACUGAGACACGGCCCAGACUCCUACGGGAGGCAGCAGUAGGGAAUCUUCGGCAAUGGACGAAAGUCUGACCGAGCAACGCCGCGUGAGUGAAGAAGGUUUUCGGAUCGUAAAACUCUGUUGUUAGAGAAGAACAAGGACGUUAGUAACUGUACGUCCCCUGACGGUAUCUAACCAGAAAGCCACGGCUAACUACGUG
rnacentral:rRNA from 1 species